rnacentral:lncRNA from 1 species
UGACUAUGCAAGGGGUCCUUCUUCUCAUCCUUCACAACUUUUGUUGUCUCUGGCAGAGAAAGACUCCCCUGAGGUGUGAUGGCUGCUCCGCACAGGCUUCCAUCGCUGGCUGGGCUGCAGUCACACAGCGCACUGUUUGCUUUGUCUCCACUGGUCUUGGGGCCAGAAGAACACAUCACUCAGACUAACCAUGGCUCAGCUUCAUGCAGCUCCCCUUGACAUUAACAAGAGAUGCUCCAAGGACUUCCAGUCUUGCUGAAAUCAGAGGAACU